GGAGGGGGUUCACAGUCCUGUUUGGGAAGAGGUGGUGUGGGAAGUCAGAUGACCAUGAGAAUUAUUGGAAAUCUGCAAUUGACUGAGGGGGUAGAUAGGUGGCAUCUUCAGGAAGAGACAGAGACCUGUAAUAGUGGAGGCCCCAAGAAUCAAUGGGGGGGUCCUUAGUCAGGAUUUAGAGCAUUGGGGAUAUAGAACCUGGAAGGGUUGCCUCCUGUGGGUAGGCAGGAACUAUGGUAGAACAAUAAAGACACCAACCCACCCAAAAAACUUUCAAUCUAAAACUUAUCCUGUCUACAAGAAAUGCAGAAGUAUGAAGGAGAAUGAGGAUCUUAUUGUAUUGCCCAGGUUGACCUCAAAUUUACGGUCCUCUCUGUCAGCUUUCCAAGUGCUGGGAUUACGUUAUUCUCCCUUGUACAUACUGUUAUUUGUAUAUACUGUAAAUGGUGACAUUGGUGGGAAAUAACCAAGCCCUGGGAAACUAGGAACAACUCAAAACCAAAACCAGACACAGCACAAGCAGCAGCCACAGGCCACUGCAGAGAAACUUCGACUUGCACAUAUGAUUUCGGACCACAAUGAUGCUUACUUUGAGGAGAAGGCAAAACAGUUGAUUAAUAUCACAGGCAAAAACCAGGAUGAAUGGGUGAUUGCCUUGCAUGACUGCAAUGGAGAUAUCAACAGAGCCAUCAGUGUUCUCCUGGAAGGAAAUCCAGACACGCAUUCCUGAGAGAUGGUUGGGAAGAAGAAAGGAGUCUCAGGACAGAAGGAUAGUUGACAAACUGAAUCUAAUGAAGAAGGAAAAGAAAAUUGAGACUGAGACAGGACUAUAGUCAGCGAUGUCGUGGGCAACCAAGACAGAAGAGAGCUGUGGUUUGGGGCUAGGAAAAUGGAUUACAUGGUACUAAUUGUGGAGGGCCUUCUGGAAGAGGCACAGAGAGAGGCAGAAGAGGCUUUGGCCAGUGCAGAGGUAGUUCUGGUAAGCGAGGCCAAAGGUUUUCUGCUCAAGAAAUGGAAACCUUUAACUUGGCUGAUUUUGCAGAGCCAGCCAACACUGAUGAUAACUAUGGCAAUAGCAGUGACAAUACAUGGAUCAACACUGGCCACUUUGAACCAGAUGAUGGAACAAGUGCAUGGAGGACUGCAACAGAAGAGUGGGUAGUGAAGAUUGGAAGGUCUUUCUGAGACCAAGAUCUUUACUGCCACUAUUGUGUCUUCAGUGCCUCUGCCUGCAGAGAAUAUGACAAUCACUGCUGGUCAGAGAACUGACCUUGCUCUUCUGUUGGGGAAGAUACUCUCUUCAAUGGAGAAUGAUUCAUCUAGUCUGGAUCCAUCUAAGGCUCCUUUCAUGGCCUAACCUCUGGUGUUUAGUAAUUUGAAGCAGAAUGCCAAAUCACAAAAUGAUACAUUUUCUCAUCAUAGCAUGGUGAGCAUGUUGGGGAAAGGAUUUGGUGAUGUUGGAGAAGCUAAAGGUGGAAGUACAACAGGCUCUCCAUUCUUGGAGCAACUGCCCAGGCCCUUGCUCAACUGACAGCUCAACAUGCUCAAUCUGGAAGCACCACCACCUCCUCUCAGGAUAUGGCUCAACAUCCCAAUCACCAUCCCUGGUGCAGUAUGAUUUGAAGAGUGCAAAUGAUUCGACAGUGCACAGUCCUUUUACAAAGCACCUUUUAAAAACCCCAUCUUCAACUAUGAUGGAGGUAUUCCUUUAGGAGAAGCCACCUGCAGUGGCUACCUCAACAGUUGCGCCUCCUCCCCCCUCUUCUCCUCAGCCAAACAAAUCUGCCUCGGCUCCACAGAUGUCUCUGGGCUCUUCAGACAACCAAUCCUCCAGCCCUCAGCCGGCUCAGCAGAAACUGAAACAGCAAAAGAAGAAAACCUCCUUGACGUCUAAGAUUUCUGCUCUGGCUGUGGAGAUGCCUGUCUCAUCAGAUAUCUCAGGGAUAAAUCUGCAGUUUGGGUCAGAGCCUGUCCUUUCUGAUAAUGAGUCCACCCAUACCGAGAGUGCCUCUUCAAGCCAAUCUCCUAGUAACCAGUAUACCAGCAUGGGCAGUGAGUCUUCGUCUACAUUUUCAUCUUAUCAGAGUUCAGGAGUCUGGUUAUUAGAGUGGCCCGAUUCAGUCGACAACUUAUACCUCCCAAAAUAAUGCUCAGGGCCCUCUAUAUGAACAGAGAUCCACACAGACAUGGCAGUAUCCCAGCUCCAUCUCUUCAUCACCCCCAAAAGGAGACCUGACUCAGGCCAAGAACAGUUGCAGCUCUGUGCACACCAUGCAGGAAGAUUUCACAGAUGCUGUAGUGAAUAUGUGGAUGUUAGAAAAAAGGUAGUAGGACUUAACUCUCUCAUCUACUUCUGGGUUCUUUGAUGAAAUUCAGGUUAG